GAUUGUGAGAUGAAGAUGGUUCUAGGAGCAGCUUGAGCUCCUCCUCAGAAGUCUACAGUAAUCUCCUGAGAGCACGUAAAGAAGGAAAGGAGCUGGCAAAUUAGGAAAUUAUGGAUAAAGCCUCAGUGUCUUCACUAGGCAUACAACAUGCAGCCUAACUAACCAAAUGUUAUUUCUUUCCCCCAGAAGACCCUGCGUUAUUUUAGGAACAGAGGAGCAAUUCUAGGAUUUUUGUAAGGCUAAAACUUAUUGGGCCUGGAUCUUGUGUGCUCGUUCUGGGAAGUCAUAGCACAUAGCUGCCUGGAAUGCUUCCUCAGGUCAUCUUACGAAAAGUCACAAGUUGGAGUCAUGGUGCUGUUAUUUCCAACUACUUCCUCACCUGCUGAACCACACUGAGGAACUUCACAAAUAGAAUUUCCUGAGGCCAAGCUAACAGAUGCACUGAAAGAGGCAUGAUGAGCCUGGGGAUCAGCAAGGAGUGUUGGGCCAGUUUGGAUCCUCCCUCUAGUGUCCAGUGUGCCUGCAGGCAGCUGUGUGCAUUGAUUGUGCCAACCUCAGGCCAGAAGAGUAGCAGCAGGUAAAUUAUGGCCCAUGGGCCAAAUCCAGCCCUUGGCUUGUUUCUG